CAUAAAACAAUACAACAGGAGGACUACUUAGGAACUUCUCAUUGCACCAUAAUUUUGUGACUGAACACCAGAGAUAAUGGUGACCAAAAGUACUGCAAAAUAAGCAGAACGGAUACUGAGGUCCAUAUAAGAAAGUGGCACUAUUUUUCAAGUUAUUUCAGCAUAAUGAUAGGUCCCUUUUUCAUGUUAGAAGAAAAUUCAGAAAUCUGGGAAAGGGAAGAGGCAAAAUUCAGAGCAUGAAAUCUGAGUCACUAAUGAAAACUGAAGGAUGUGAAAUUUAUU